UACGGAGGGGCUAGCGUUGUUCGGAAUUACUGGGCGUAAAGCGCACGUAGGCGGAUCUUUAAGUCAGGGUGAAAUCCUGGAGCUCAACUCCAGAACUGCCUUUGAUACUGGGAUCUCGAGUCCGGAAGAGGUGAGUGGAACUCCGAGUGUAGAGGUGAAAUUCGUAGAUAUUCGGAAGAACACCAGUGGCGAAGGCGGCUCACUGGUCCGGUACUGACGCUGAGGUGCGAAAGCGUGGGAGCAACAGG
rnacentral:rRNA from 1 species